rnacentral:rRNA from 1 species
CAGCACCUCAAGUGGUCAGGAUGAUUAUUGGGCCUAAAGCAUCCGUAGCCGGCUCUCUAAGUUUUCGGUUAAAUCUGUACGCUCAACGUACAGGCUGCCGGGAAUACUGCAGAGCUAGGGAGUGGGAGAGGUAGACGGUACUCGGUAGGAAGGGGUAAAAUCCUUUGAUCUAUUGAUGACCACCUGUGGCGAAGGCGGUCUACCAGAACACGUCCGACGGUGAGGGAUGAAAGCUGGGGGAGCAAACCGGAUUAGAGACCCGAGUAGUCC